GUAGGUGGCAAGCGUUGUCCGGAAUUAUUGGGCGUAAAGCGCGCGCAGGCGGUUCUUUAAGUCUGAUGUGAAAGCCCACGGCUCAACCGUGGAGGGUCAUUGGAAACUGGAGAACUUGAGUACAGAAGAGGAAAGCGGAAUUCCACGUGUAGCGGUGAAAUGCGUAGAGAUGUGGAGGAACACCAGUGGCGAAGGCGGCUUUCUGGUCUGUAACUGACGCUGAGGCGCGAAAGCGUGGGGAGCAAACAGGAUUAGAUACCCUGGUAGUCCACGCCGAAAACGAUGAGUGCUAAGUGUUAGGGGGGUUUCCGCCCCCCUUAGUGCUGCAGCCAACGCAUUAAGCACUCCGCCUGGGAGUACGGCCGCAAGGCUG
rnacentral:rRNA from 1 species